GGACGACCUGCAGCGCAUCCACAACGUCACCGCCAGCGCGCCCAUGCAGGUGGAUAACCGUUCGUCAAGCACUCUACGCGAGAUCGAGCGGAAUCGGCACGUGCUGCUGGCAAAGCAAGGCACUCAGGUGAUCGAGGACGAGCGUC